GCCCAAUCGCGUCCUGCAAAACAUCCUGGAAAGACUUCAUUUGGGGUUUAUUAGAAAUAAGUGAAAAGACCAAUGUUUCCUUUUUAACAUUUCCAGACACAACUAAAAUAUGUAUGUCCAUUUUUUGAACAGCCCAUUAAUUUUUUCUCAUUAAAAUGUGUUUGUAAAACCUCUAGUCCCAAGGCUAAUCUAUAGGAAUCAGAUUGUUUCGCGUUUUCAUUUUAGGCUUGGGUGUUACUUGGUUAGGCAAAAAGAAUACGCAAUUGGUUGUAAUAGAAAAUAAAGGAAAAAUUAUCAAAUGAUUUUUCUUUUUAAACUAGGAAACUUUUUAGCCGCGCUGGACAUUUAAAAAAUUAUGACCCGCUUCCUUUUAAAAGAAAAAAGGCCACAAAAGCGUGAGAAUGCAGAAAGCGAGGAUUUAAAGUGGUAGGACGCCCCCUCCACCACCAGCCCCCGCUCCCAGAAAUAUCAGCAAUACGGUUCUGGGAAAGCAAGAGCGGGCAUCUUCCAUUCUGAGGAACGAAUGGGGUCCCUCCUCGGGAACGCGCAGGGGGCAGCUGCCCGCGCCUCGGGGACCGCUCGGCUCCGCGCUCAGCUGGCCGGCUCUGCCCGCUGCAGACCCGCGCCGGCGUCGUGGCGGCCCGGCCGGUGCAACGGCCUCGGGGAUGCCCCCCGGGCUGCGCGCGCCCGCGGCGGGGAGGGGAGUCCCCGCACCGGGUUGAGACGACUUUCCUUCCUCAGCUUCCCCGCCCUCUCUCUCCGAAUUCUUGAAUUCUUCAGCCCGGGCCGCCGCUGCCCUCCUGGUCCCUCCGGGCCGCACGCGCGGCAGGGAGCGAGCAGCAUCCGGUCCCUUCCGGAGCGCGCAGGCGGCGCCUUCUCAGCGUGCGCCCGGGGUGGGUCGACAGCGACCGGGACGGGAGGCGGGAGCGUUCCCGGAGGCUGCGGAGAGCCCCGCUUUGUCUCAAGGGACCGCUGGGCAGUUUCCUCCUUUUCCCGCCCGCAUCCCUCUGCUUCCAGGUGCUCCAGGAAGUCGCCGGAGCUGAAGGUGAAGAAACUGAGGCCCAGAAAGGUGCUAGCAGCAAUAGUGGUCCUCUCUGAUUUUCAGUUUUUCGAAGACCACUGCAAUUCGCAAGUAGAUCCUGCAUUUGGAAUUUGCCAGAGUCACUUUGGAAGUUCCCGGGGCAGCACCAUAGAGGGUGGAUGUAAAAGGGAAUACUUUAUAAGCCACUUCCCUGGCUGAAAUGCUAAUUGCCACAAACUGAUCAUCAUUUGAAUGAAGAGUGUUAAAACUGAAAAACAGUGAAUACCAAGACUAACAGAAUUUUUAGCUGAGCGUUGGACCGCCUGGAAUAAAUACUUCCCAGAUGCCUUUGAGCUAGUGUUGCCAUUUAACUAAGUUCUGGCCAGUGAGAUGUAAGUGGAACUGCCCUGUGGCAGCUUGAGAACGUUCCUGAAGAGAAGGCUGGGACAUGUUUUUUGUCAGUCUUCUCUCACAUUCCUCCAUCUUCCUGCCUGGAACACAGAUGUUUUGGACAAUGAAGUUGAAACAUCACAUUAUGAAGGAACCAGAGAAAAAGAGCCGGGCUCUCUGCAUAUGGAGCACCAUAUUAGCCCUGAACUGCCUGCAUGGACUUUAAAACAAGAGAGAAAUAAACAUUUAUCCUGCUUAAGCCACUGCAGUUAGGGCUUUCUGUCAGUUCCAGUCAAACCUAACCCUACUGAACGCACCAGCUUUAAGGUUCACUGAGUCCACGUGGGGAGCAAACCACUACCUAUUUAAAAUCCAAUUAAAAAGACAUAGACUGUUUUUCUUUGUUCUUGUGGAUAACACAGAUAAAAAAGAAAAACAAACAAAAAUAGAUAUCAUAGU
rnacentral:lncRNA from 1 species